GGCCCUGCUCGCCCCCAGACUGGUUCCACCUUGUGGGGCUCCUGCACGACCUGGGCAAGGUGCUGGUGCUGUUCGGGGAGCCCCAGUGGGCCGUGGUCGGGGACACCUUCCCGGUGGGCUGCAAGGUGCAGAAGUCGGUGGUCUACGGGGACUCCACCUUCCACGACAACCCCGACACCAAAGACCCCCGGUACAGCACCGAGUACGGGAUGUACCAACCCGGCUGUGGCCUGGACAACGUCCUCAUGUCCUGGGGCCACGAUGGUGAGUUUGGGGCGCCGGGGGGGGUUCCCUCGUGAGGGCAGGGCGGGCCCCCCACCCCAAAUGGGGCCCUGGAGCCCCCCGGGGCUGUGCUGACCCCCCUGCCCCCUUUGCAAGGACUGUAGCCCUUGGUGUGGGGCAGGGGCUGCAGCUCCUGGGGGGCUCUGUGCCUCUGGGGGGGCUCUGCACCCCUCGGCGUCCCCCCCGGUGGGGGUCCAGCCCCUCCCCANACCCCCCCUUCCUUUUCAGAGUACAUGUACCAAGUGAUGAAGUUCAACAACUUCGCCCUGCCCAAGGAGGUGAGCUCAGCCCAGGGGGGCU
rnacentral:lncRNA from 1 species